UCCAGAGCAUGAGGAGCAUUUGUGAUGAGU
rnacentral:piRNA from 1 species